CCUCCGCGCUGCCGGCGGGCCUGGAACCCAGCCUGGAGGAUGAGGGUGGGAAAAGGGAGAGGAGGCUGUCGCGGGCCGGCGGGCGUGCGGGGCAGAGGCCUGCCGCGUGGUAAAGGCGCGGGGAGAGCCCGGUGGGCUCAGGGCGGCGUCGCUGGGGGGUCCGCGGUGGCCAGCGCCGACCCGGUCAAGGGCCUCCAGGCGCCAGCAGGGAGAGCACGAGAGGAUGAAGCGCCUGGCGCUGAUCCGAGCCCUUGCCGGGUCCUCACCUUUCUUCUUCCGUCUCGGAGGGGCGUGACCAGCGGGGGUCGAAUCGGGUAGGUGGAGAGCAAGGCUUGGGACCGAGGGUCCGACUCUGCAGCCUGUCUCCACUUUGACGUCUGUGGCUGCCCACGUGGGGAGGCAGAGAGGGCUUCGGGCCUUGGGGUCCCUGGGGAGUCCCAGGGUCCCUGGGCUGGGUGCUCCGGAGGAAGGAUGGAGGAACUGAGGAGCGCCCACCCUCCGCAUGGGGAGUUCACGGGUGAGCCACUGAGGGUGGCGUUCAGUCCUGAAGAGGUAGGUCGGGGGUUACCUUCAGAGGCGGCUGGCGCGAGCAGGCUCAGGGUGAGGAGGGGUCGCCCUGACUUGGCUGUGCCACCAGGAAUGGAUGUUGAGGACGAGAGGUGACAUGGGUUGAGGGCUCAGCUCCAAAAAGGCUCUGUGGGCAGGAUGAGCGGGCACCCCGAGGCAAAGCAGGCGGAGGUGGCAGGGUUGGAGGAACUGGGAGGCAGAAUUGGGAGACUGUCUCUGCUUAGUUUUGGAUUCUUUAUGAUGAAUGAGCAUGUAUUAAUUCAUAAGAGUGGAUAAAGACCAAGAUGAGGUUUAGGGGUUGGGUCGCUGGAUUAAAUUAAAAUAAAGCUGGGAGAAUACAGAUUAAGUCCCUUUAGAAGCCCACAGCCCUGGCGGGGCCUCAGCUCCCAGCAGCCAGUGGCCUGCGCAGAAGGGGGCUGGGCACGGGCAGGUGGGCAGGAUCCAGGAGCUGGAGGGAGGAGAGCAGUGUCCUCAGGCCAGGGUCAGGCCACAUCCCCGGCCUAUGCCCACCUUCCAGCUGCCACUCACUGUGGCCCCACCUGCACUGACGGGGGCCUCGCUCACUGCUGCUCCUCUCUUGCUGGACUGGGGCGGGGUAGGGGGGGUGUCGGUGCCUGGUGGUUUGGUGAGUGGAUGAGCCGAGUGUACUGGGUUUGGCUUCUGGAAAGGGCUUUAGUGGUCGGGCUUCGGAGUGGGUCCACCUUGGGGGAUGAGGGGGCCGGGGGUGCUGCCCCAAGAAUGUGAGAGGUGAGCCCUGGCGUGAUGUGGGGUAAGGGGCUGCUUCUCAGGGUGGUCUGGGGCCGGGAGAAGCCCUGCCCAGGGUGUCCGGGCUGCCUCCUGCCCCCAGGGCUGGGGGGGCUGCUGUGGCACCUGCACUCAGCAGACCUGUUCCCACAGGUGUGUCGGCCCAGUCCUUCCUCCACUGCUUCACACUGGCCAGCGCUGCCUUCAACCUGCAGGUGGCCACCCCUGGGGGGAAGACCUUGGACUUCGUCGACGUGAACGAGAGCAAUGCGCGCUGGGUGCAGGACUUCCGCCUCAAGGCCUACGCCAGCCCUGCCAAGCUCGAGUCCAUCGACGGUGCCCGGUACCAUGCCCUCCUGAUUCCCAGCUGUCCUGGGGCCCUGGCCGACCUGGCCAGCAGCGGGUCCCUGGCUCGCAUCCUGCAGCACUUCUGCGCCGAGAGCAAGCCCAUCUGCGCCGUGGGCCAUGGCGUGGCUGCCCUUUGCUGUGCCACCAAUGAGGACAGAUCCUGGGUGUUCCAAGGCUACAGCGUCACAGGGCCCUCUGUGUACGAGCUCGUCCGGGCGCCCGGCUUCGCCCACCUGCCCCUGAUCGUGGAGGACUUUGCGAAGGACGCGGGCGCCUGCUUCAGCGCCAGCCAGCCUGACGCCGUGCACGUCGUGCUGGACCGCCACCUCGUUACGGGCCAGAACGCCGGCUCCACCGUCCCGGCCGUGCAGAACCUGCUCUUCCUCUGUGGCAGCCGGAAGUGAGGCGGCCCUGAACUGAGCCUGCCACCUGCACACAUCCUGGACGCCCCCCGGGCAGCUGGACUCUCAGGCCUCAGGGACCCUGCCUCCGUGACAUCCCGGCCUGGCCUGGUGGGGUUUCUGGAGGGCUCUCGGGGUGCUAGCCCUGGGGAGGCUGAGCCCCUGACGCCACACCUUCUGGCGGGGGGGGGUGUCAGGGCCCAGGUGCUGCUUUGGCUGCCACGAGGUCCCUGAGAUCCUGCGUGUUCCACGGAGCGAGUGGGCUGUGGGGCCCGGAGUGGGGAGCAGAGCCUGAGCCUUUCCGAAGCCUGGGGGGGGGCCUGCCGGUUGGGCAGUGGCGGCCAGGGCUUCCGGAGGCCCCGCCGGGGGGGAGGGGCCUCUGGUUGGUGUCAGACCUGACGGUGACCCCAUGUCAGGCCCGGGUGGAUCUCAGUGUCACCGUGUCCCUCCUGACGUUGAGAGAAACAGUUGGGACGCAGGGCCCUGCCCAAGUGGCCUCCAGGUGGUGCCCCGAGCCCAGCUUUGCAGCUGCUCUGCCUGUCUCACAGCAGCCACGACGGGCGUGAGCUUCACUGGGAAGGAGGCCAUGAGCGUGGCUGACCUGGGGUGGCAGGCAGUCCUCACCUCUCAGGCCCCGGACAGGCCUCUGCCAGGGGUGCCAGGCGGCUGUCCAGCCAGCUGGCUCCCUCUGCAGCCAGGCAUCUCCAGCCUCUCUGGGGCGCCUGGCCUGGCCCUCGGCUGGGCCCUCUGGAGCUGCUGGCCUCCAUGCGUGUCCCUUACCUUUUCCUGUCACCCUUAUCCAACCCCUCGUAACAAAAGGGGAGGAGGCAGGGCCCUGAGUCCGAGGCCACUUCCCUCCUGUGGCGUGGCUGUGGGCUCGGGCCGGGGACGGAGCCUGUGCCACAGCAGUGACAACGCCAGGUGCUUAACUGCUGGGCCACCAGGGAAGUCCAUGCACUGUCCUUUCUGUCCAGCGUUUCCCACGUUCCCAGGAUCAGAGCCCCUGACACCUGCUGGCCAGCUCUGUCCACGGUGGGCCUGGCCAGCCCUGCUGUGAGGCCUCUGGCAUCCCGGGCCUGCAGUUGUCCCGUGGUUACGGCCUGCUCUGGAUGAAAGGUUUUUUUUUAAGGAGACAGCUUGGGGGCCCAAUCCUGUGUCGUCUGCAGAGAGCUGCUUUGUGACGGGCCAGAUGCAGACCCAGGGGCUCUGCGGGGCCUCCCGUUUCAGGGCACCGGGAUGGGUGGUGGUGGCGGGGGGUAGGGGCUGGAAGGAGGAGAGGAGCCUGGGAAGAUGGUCGCUGAGUGUGGGCACCCGUGCCCUCUGGGGUGCCCAGUCUGCCCUAAAGAAAUAAAAACCUAGACCUCC
ensembl:lncRNA